AGGAUUGCAUAGGAGUUCUUGAAUUUGAUUUUCAAAAGUUACUCGCUUUAUGGAAUUGGACUUUUUGUAUCUUGCAACCCUGUUUUCACUUAAAUUAUGUUGAAAAACAAAUGCAAUAAAGAGUUUUAUGAAUACA